rnacentral:rRNA from 22 species
CAACUGCAAUUGGUGGAUCACUC